CUUAAAGGAAUUGACGGGGAGCACCACAACGGGUGGAGCCUGCGGUUUAAUUGGACUCAACGCCGGAAAUCUUACCGGGACCGACAGCAAUAUGAAGGCCAGGCUGAAGACUUUGCCGGAUUAGCUGAGAGGUGGUGCAUGGCCGUCGUCAGUUCGUACUGUGAAGCAUCCUGUUAAGUCAGGCAACGAGCGAGACCCACGCCAACAGUUGCCAGCUCGUCCUCCGGGAUGGUGGGGACACUGUUGGGACCGCCUCUGCUAAAGAGGAGGAAGGAAUGGGCAACGGUAGGUCAGCAUGCCCCGAAUUAUCUGGGCUACACGCGGGCUACAAUGGGUGGGACAAUGGGUAUCGACACCGAAAGGUGAAGGCAAUCUCCUAAACCCAUCCGUAGUUCGGAUUGUGGGCUGCAACUCGCCCACAUGAAGCUGGAAUCUGUAGUAAUCGUGUCUCAAAAUGGCACGGUGAAUAUGUCCCUGCUCCUU
rnacentral:rRNA from 1 species